rnacentral:rRNA from 1 species
AUUGAACGCUGGCGGCAUGCCUUACACAUGCAAGUCGAACGGCAGCAUGGAGAGCUUGCUCUCUGAUGGCGAGUGGCGAACGGGUGAGUAAUGCAUCGGAACGUACCGUGUAAUGGGGGAUAACGUAGCGAAAGUUACGCUAAUACCGCAUACGACCUGAGGGUGAAAGCAGGGGAUCGCAAGACCUUGCGUUAUACGAGCGGCCGAUGUCAGAUUAGCUAGUUGGUGAGGUAAAGGCUCACCAAGGCGACGAUCUGUAGCGGGUCUGAGAGGAUGACACGCCACACUGGGCCUGAGACACGGCCCAGACUCCUACGGGAGUCAGCAGUGGGGAAUUUUGGACAAUGGGGGCAACCCUGAUCCAGCCAUGCCGCGUGAGUGAAGAAGGCCUUCGGGUUGUAAAGCUCUUUCGGCCGGGAAGAAAUCGCACAGGCUAAUACUCUGUGUGGAUGACGGUACCGGCAUAAGAAGCACCGGCUAACUACGUGCCAGCAGCCGCCGUAA